rnacentral:rRNA from 1 species
ACGAACGCUGGCGGCGUGCCUAAUACAUGCAGGUAGAACGCACAGUUUAUACCGUAGCUUGCUACACCAUAACCUGUGAGUUGCGAACGGGUGAGUAACGCGUAGGUAACCUGCCUGGUAGCGGGGGAUAACUAUUGGAAACGAUAGCUAAUACCGCAUAAUAUUGAUUAUUGCAUGAUAAUUGAUUGAAAGAUGCUAUUGCAUCACUACCAGAUGGACCUGCGUUGUAUUAGCUAGUAGGUGAGGUAACGGCUCACCUAGGCGACGAUACAUAGCCGACCUGAGAGGGUGAUCGGCCACACUGGGGCUGAGACACGGCCCAGACUCCUACGGGAGGCAGCAGUAGGGAAUCUUCGGCAAUGGAUGAAAGUCUGACCGAGCAACGCCGCGUGAGUGAAGAAGGUUUUCGGAUCGUAAAGCUCUGUUGUAAGAGAAGAACGGGUGUGAGAGUGGAAAGUUCACACUGUGACGGUAUCUUACCAGAAAGGGACGGCUAACUACGUG